GAUGAACGCUGGCGGCGUGCCUAAUACAUGCAAGUCGAGCGAACAGAUGAGGAGCUUGCUCCUCUGACGUUAGCGGCGGACGGGUGAGUAACACGUGGAUAACCUACCUAUAAGACUGGGAUAACUUCGGGAAACCGGAGCUAAUACCGGAUAAUAUAUUGAACCGCAUGGUUCAAUAGUGAAAGACGGUUUUGCUGUCACUUAUAGAUGGAUCCGCGCCGCAUUAGCUAGUUGGUAAGGUAACGGCUUACCAAGGCAACGAUGCGUAGCCGACCUGAGAGGGUGAUCCGCCACACUGGAACUGAGACACGGUCCAGACUCCUACGGGAGGCCGCAGUAGGGACUCUUCCGCAAUGGGCGAAAGCCUGACGGAGCAACGCCGCGUGAGUGAUGAAGGUCUUCGGAUCGUAAAACUCUGUUAUUAGGGAAGAACAAAUGUGUAAGUAACUAUGCACGUCUUGACGGUACCUAAUCAGAAAGCCACGGCUAACUACGUG
rnacentral:rRNA from 1 species